GAAUAUUGGGCAAUGGACGCAAGUCUGACCCAGCCAUGCCGCGUGCAGGAAGACGGCCCUCUGGGUUGUAAACUGCUUUUAUUAGGGAAGAAACCCUUCUACGUGUAGAAGGCUGACGGUACCUAAGGAAUAAGGAUCGGCUAACUCCGUGCCAGCAGCCGCGGUAAUACGGAGGAUCCAAGCGUUGUCCGGAUUUAUUGGGUUUAAAGGGUGCGUAGGCGGACUUUUAAGUCAGAGGUGAAAGCCGGUAGCUUAACUAUCGAAUUGCCUUUGAAACUGAAAGUCUUGAAUUUUGUUGAGGUAGGCGGAAUGUAUCAUGUAGCGGUGAAAUGCAUAGAUAUGAUACAGAACACCGAUUGCGAAGGCAGCUUACUAAGCAAACAUUGACGCUGAGGCACGAAAGCGUGGGGAUCAAACAGG
rnacentral:rRNA from 1 species